AUUGAACGCUGGCGGAAUGCUUUACACAUGCAAGUCGAGCGGCAGCGCGGGGCAACCUGGCGGCGAGCGGCGAACGGGUGAGUAAUGCAUCGGAACGUACCCCGUCGUGGGGGAUAACUACCCGAAAGGGUAGCUAAUACCGCAUACGACCUGAGGGUGAAAGCGGGGGACCGAAAGGCCUCGCGCGAUGGGGAGCGGCCGAUGCCGGAUUAGCUAGUUGGUAGGGUAAAGGCCUACCAAGGCGACGAUCCGUAGCUGGUCUGAGAGGACGACCAGCCACACUGGAACUGAGACACGGUCCAGACUCCUACGGGAGGCAGCAGUGGGGAAUUUUGGACAAUGGGCGAAAGCCGUGAUCCAGCCAUUCCGCGUGAGUGAAGAAGGCCUCGGUUCGUAAG
rnacentral:rRNA from 1 species